CUUAGUUAACCUCAGAUUAGUAUUGCAGUUUUCCUCCCUCUGUGACCCAGCUGCAAAAUGAUUUACUGAAUUUUUCUAAAGGAAAAUGACAAAAACAACUGGCUGGAAAAAUGAAUCCUUGGACCUUUCCCAAAGGAAAAUAUCCUCCAGGUGGGAACUGUGGCAGCAGGGUAACUUCAUCGUUGUAUUACCUGAAUCAGCUGGAUGGGGU